rnacentral:rRNA from 1 species
GAUGAACGCUGGCGGCGUGCCUAAUACAUGCAAGUCGAGCGAACAGACGAGGAGCUUGCUCCUCUGACGUUAGCGGCGGACGGGUGAGUAACACGUGGAUAACCUACCUAUAAGACUGGGAUAACUUCGGGAAACCGGAGCUAGUACCGGAUAAUAUAUUGAACCGCAUGGUUCAAUAGUGAAAGACGGUUUUGCUGUCACUUAUAGAUGGAUCCGCGCCGCAUCAGCUAGUUGGUAAGGUAACGGCUUACCAAGGCAACGAUGCGUAGCCGACCUGAGAGGGUGAUCGGCCACACUGGAACUGAGACACGGUCCAGACUCCUACGGGAGGCAGCAGUAGGGAAUCUUCCGCAAUGGGCGAAAGCCUGACGGAGCAACGCCGCGUGAGUGAUGAAGGUCUUCGGAUCGUAAAACUCUGUUAUUAGGGAAGAACAAAUGUGUAAGUAACUAUGCACGUCUUGACGGUACCUAAUCAGAAAGCCACGGCUAACUACGUG